rnacentral:lncRNA from 1 species
ACAGAAGCAGGGCUGAGGGGAUUCAAGUGCUCAAACAGCCCAGGCGUAUGGGUCACCUGGCACCUCUGGAGGAGGGACAUGGCCCACAGAUGUCACCGUUUUUAAGAGGGCCUGCCCUGAUCUCGCCUAUGUCAAGGGUGACUAGAAGAAGGACGAAUCGGUCCUCUGUGUAGCUGUUUGCAAACGUGAAGAGGGGACAAGGAAAACUACUGGAUGAACACGGUUGUCUUGGGAAGAGACCUGCAGGAAGCUGCCCCAGCAGAGGAGGCCACGGGUUUCAGUAACGCCAGAGGCUGAGAGAGGAAUUGGUCGACGGAGGCAGAAAUCGUCACAUACGAGGAAAGCUUGACUGCAAAACAUCAAUUCAUCCAGCAACCACUCACCAU